CUUUAUAUGGCAGUUGAAAGAUAAGGGUGUAAUACGAAAUUUUGCCGGAUAGCCCAUACACGCAGCAAUGGCGUAAGACGUAUUGUGCAAUCAGGCAUUUAGCGGGCUGCGGGUUGCAGCCUGGACGAAAACGGGAUUGGUUCACCUGGUAUUAUACUGGCGGUUCUCCCUAUCAAAGCGCUGUUUUUCCAUAUGUAAAACAGGCUACCGAGUAUUUGCGCCCCAAGAGCAGCCGACAUCCGUGAGGUUGACGGCUUUGCGAUGAGACACGGGGUCAUCGGUCUUUCACGUCCAGCGUUACUUUGCCCGCAGCUUUGUCACUAA
rfam:Triticum urartu cultivar G1812 contig668277, whole genome shotgun sequence.